ensembl:lncRNA
AAACUCCAACACAUAAUGGCUCUGAGAAGCAGUGCAUACAGUGGGACUUCCCAGCUUCUCCUAUAGCCCUGCCAGCAAGGAUCUGGGGAUGCACAAGGAUCUGGGAGGGAACACUACUGGGACAGGCUGGGCAUAGGUCAGCAGUUCUCUCCCCUGUCCCACUGAUGGGAUGUGAGAAAAUGGCUGUGUGGCUUCCUUGCUGGAAAACCACACAUAACACCUCAGCAAAGAAAAAAUGAACAAGUAAAUAAAUAAAACCACCGAUUUACCUAUCUAAAAAGGAAGAUGUUGGCCCACAUUGCUGUAAGCCUCCUACCUUCUGCGAUGGGACCUGGCAUGACUUCCCUCUCUGUCCACAAUCUCAAGAAGCAUAUUUAAGGAGAGAGGCAGCAAUGUGGCUAGAAGUGUUUCUGGUAAAUUGGGAAAUUGCUGUUUGGACAAUGUAAGAGGGUGUGUUAUGAGCAUCUGCUGUCUGCAGGCUCUGCUGGGAUAGAACCUUCUGCUCUACUGUAUUGAACUUCUGUCUUUAUACAAAUAGAGCU